rnacentral:rRNA from 1 species
AAAGGAAUUGACGGGGGCUCACACAAGCGGUGGAGCAUGUGGCUUAAUUCGAGGCAACGCGAAGAACCUUAUCCUGGGCUUGACAUGCACGGAUUAACUUCCUGAAAGGGAAGCCACGCUCUUUGAGUGGAACGUGCACAGGUGCUGCAUGGCUGUCGUCAGCUCGUGCUGUGAAGUGUCGGGUUAAGUCCCUUAACGAGCGAAACCCCUGCCGUUAGUUGCUAACAGGUUAUGCUGAGGACUCUAGCGGGACUGCCGGUGUCAAACCGGAGGAAGGUGGGGAUGACGUCAAGUCCUCAUGGCCUUUAUGCCCAGGGCUGCACACGUGCUACAAUGGUGGCUACAGAGCGACGCAAUACCGUAAGGUGGAGCAAAUCGCAAAAAGGUCACCCCAGUUCGGAUUGUGGUCUGCAACUCGACCACAUGAAGCCGGAAUCGCUAGUAAUCGCGUAUCAGCUACGACGCGGUGAAUAUGUUCCUGAGCCUUGUACACACCGCCCGU